rnacentral:rRNA from 1 species
UGGGGAAUAUUGCACAAUGGGGGAAACCCUGAUGCAGCGACGCCGCGUGAACGAAGAAGGUAUUCGUAUCGUAAAGUUCUGUCCUAUGGGAAGAUAAUGACAGUACCAUAGAAGAAAGCUCCGGCUAAAUACGUGCCAGCAGCCGCGGUAAUACGUAUGGAGCGAGCGCUGUCCGGAAUUAUUGGGCGUAAAGGGUACGCAGGCGGUUUAAUAAGUCGAAUGUUAAAGAUCGGGGCUCAACCCCGUAAAGCAUUGGAAACUGAUAAACUUGAGUAGUGGAGAGGAAAGUGGAAUUCCUAGUGUAGUGGUGAAAUACGUAGAGAUUAGGAGGAAUACCAGUAGCGAAGGCGACUUUCUGGACACAAACUGACGCUGAGGUACGAAAGCGUGGGGAGCAAACAGG